AGGUCUUCAGGAGGCUCCAAGACCAGCAGGCAUAUAAGCAAAAUGGAACAUAGACACUGGAAGCAACUUUCCUGUGUUAGUAAGCCAGCAGCAUCCUCACACCAUGCGACUUUACAACAGCUGCUGCCCUAUCCUCAGAGCCUCUGCCUGGCAUGGACUGGGGCACUCAGAAUGGUAUCCCUUGAUAUAAUGCAUAUACGAUGGCACCGUCUACCACCUCCUCAUGCCUAAACAUUUCUCAGUUUUCAGAUUUAGAGUCUCAAAACUGUUUCCACAGUAUUGAACUCCCAGUUUUCUAAACCCCAACACGUUUCUUUCU
rnacentral:lncRNA from 1 species